rnacentral:rRNA from 1 species
GACGAACGCUGGCGGCGUGCCUAAUACAUGCAAGUAGAACGCAGUUGCGAACGGGUGAGUAACGCGUAGGUAACUGCCUCAUAGCGGGGGAUAACUAUUGGAAACGAUAGCUAAUACCGCAUACUGUGAGAUGUACCUUCGUUGUGUUAGGUAGUUGGUGAGGUAAAGGCUCUCCAAGGCGAAGGUACAUAGCCGACCUGAGAGGGGGAACGGCCAAACUGGGACUGGGACACGGGCCCGAAUCCUACGGGGGGGAGCAGGAGGGAAACAUCGGAAAUGGACGGAAGGCUGAACGAGCAACGGCGCGGGAGUGGAGAAGGUUUUUGGAGCGUAAAGCUAUGGUCAGAGAGAAGCGGUAACUAAACAGAAAGCGACGGCUAACUACGUGCCAGCAGCCGCGGUAAUAC